AAGAGGAGCCGAGCCCACUUGCCUGUGUACAGCUCCGGGAGCGCGACGCUGUCACUGCGGUCACGCUCCCGGCUCCCAGCAGCAGAACACACAUGACGGAGGCAGCAUAGUGCGCCAGCGCGGUGCGGCGCUAUAGUAACGGGCGGCAAUAGCGGGGGCGGGCGGUGACGGAUAAGAAGUCCUUUCCUCCCUGGGUGAAUGUGCCACCCCCGGACAUUGGGGUGGGUAUGAGAAGGGAGGGGGAGUCAGUGAGCGACGCAGCAGUGAAGGAGCAAGAGGUAUGUUUUGUGAUAUAGGCCAUGCACCGGGCUGGGAUCUGUAGUUCCACAAAAGGUCCCAAUAGCAACAAUAGUUUAGCACUGGAAGCUGGAGCCAAGGAACGUAGCUAGAAUCAGUGACGUUGUUUGGGGCAAAUGCUAAGUGAACACAGAGUCCUUUUAUCCCCCUUGAAUGGUGAUUGGAAGCGUGGGUCACCUGAGUGGAGCGGAAAUUGUGGUUGGUGGACUUCCAUAUUGCUGGAGAGCUGCACACCAGCAUGCAGGAUCUCCUUCCUGAACGCCCGCACGGUCCUUAUAUUCCCGAUACGUUCUUCUGCCAGCUGGAGACAGGAACAGCGGACACACAGUCUGAGCAGGUUUUACGUACGCAUCAUAACAUUCAUCAAGACACUGAUUUAUUAUCCAAACAGGGGGAA